UGAGCCGGAAGAUCAAAGGUUCUCACGGUGAACCACGGAAACAACAGAGAGGAAGACGCAGAAAAUAAAGCUUCUGACACACAAACUGUGGUCCUCCUGGAUGAGGCGGAGGUCAGAGAGCACUUAUUGUUUGUUUCUUACAACAGGAGGGCCACAAUAAAAAUAAAAAUGUUGAGUUACUCCACAUCGCUGCAGCGUGUAUCCGUCACCAGUGCCAGAGCAUCCAUCAAUCAUCAUUAUGCACAGGUCUCACUGUAGUGUUUCAUGUUUACAUGACACAGUUUUUAUUUCACAUUACAGAGAGCUCACGUCCUUCAGAGAUCUCCUCUCCCUGAUAUUAUCUGACAGAGGUUUGAUCUGUGAAUAUAAGUUUUAAUGUGCUGGUUUCAUCACGGGUAGCUUGGUCUGUGCUUUGACUGAUUAUGAGGUCACAUACGCACAGACAUCAACAACAUAGUGUCUCUUAUUUAAAUCAUCUUAUAUUUAAAUAGACCUGGGGUCCGUUUCACAAAGCAGGUUCAAUAAAACUCUGAGUCUAACCCUGAACUCUAGUUGAUCUACUCUGAGAUAGGAAACUCUGUGUUUUCGGUUCCACAACAGCUGAUUUGAGUUAGUUAAAUCAACUUGGAGUAGUUUCACCUGGGGUUAAGUGCGUGCACCACAACUUUAAAAAGACAACAUCAAUGGAGCCCCGAUUUGACGAGUCACCAUGGCAAUGGAGAAGAAGAGGGCGGCAUUUUUCACCCCACUGGAACUGGACAUCCUUAUUCGCUCAUUUGGCGAGUUUGAGCAUGUUUUUCAAAAAAAAUGCAACACCGCUGCAGGUGCCAAACAGAGGGAGACGGCAUGGGAGAACAUUGCGGCUCGGGUCAAUGCGUGCAAUCCGGCGGGGGGAGAAGCGCACCUGGCUGCAGCUUAAGAUGAAAUAUAAAAACAUUGUUCAAACAGAAAGAAAGCAGAUGCCCGUAAAACGGGUGGCAGCCGAGCACCGCCACCUCUAACGGAGGCAGAGGCGCUGGCCCUGAGACAGAAUUUUGGAAGGCCAGCGACUGAGGGAAUCCCUGGAGGGAGCUCAUCCUCUGAGCCCACCCCCCAAGACACAAGUGCCUUUAUAA